GGUGGGUUGGCUCAGUGCUUAGAGCGUAGGUCUCGUAAACGAAAGGUUGCGAGAUCGAAUCCCGCUGAAAUUUAUUU
rnacentral:tRNA from 1 species